GUGAGGAAUUUUCCGCAAUGGACGAAAGCCUGACGGAGUAAUGCCGCGUGAAGGAUGAAGGCCUAUGGGUUGUAAACUUCUUUUCUCAGAAAAGAAUUAUGACGGUAUCUGAGGAAUAAGCAUCGGCUAACUCUGUGCCAGCAGCCGCGGUAAGACAGAGGAUGCAAGCGUUAUCCGGAAUGAUUGGGCGUAAAGCGUCUGUAGGUUGUUUAAAAAGUAUUCUGUCAAAGAUUAGGGCUUAACCCUAGAUAGGCAGAAUAAACUUUUAAGCUAGAGUUUGGUAGAGGCAGAGGGAAUUCCCGGUGGAGCGGUGAAAUGCGUAGAUAUCGGGAGGAACACCAAAGGCGAAGGCACUCUGCUGGGCCAAUACUAACACUGAGAGACGAAAGCGAGGGGAGCAAAUGGGAUUAGAUACCCGAGUAGUCC
rnacentral:rRNA from 1 species